rnacentral:rRNA from 1 species
GAUGAACGCUGGCGGCGUGCCUAAUACAUGCAAGUCGAGCGAACAGACGAGGAGCUUGCUCCUCUGACGUUAGCGGCGGACGGGUGAGUAACACGUGGAUAACCUACCUAUAAGACUGGGAUAACUUCGGGAAACCGGAGCUAAUACCGGAUAAUAUAUUGAACCGCAUGGUUCAAUAGUGAAAGACGGUUUUGCUGUCACUUAUAGAUGGAUCCGCGCCGCAUUAGCUAGUUGGUAAGGUAACGGCUUACCAAGGCAACGAUGCGUAGCCGACCUGAGAGGGUGAUCGGCCACACUGGAACUGAGACACGGUCCAGACUCCUACGGGAGGCAGCAGUAGGGAAUCUUACGCAAUGGGCGGAAGCCUGACGGAGCAACGCCGCGUGAGUGAUGAAGGUCUUCGGAUCGUAAAACUCUGUUAUGAGGGAAGAACAAAUGUGUAAGUAACUAUGCACGUCUUGACGGUACCUAAUCAGAAAGCCACGGCUAACUACGUG